UGGGGAAUUUUGCGCAAUGGGCGAAAGCCUGACGCAGCAACGCCGCGUGAGUGAUGAAGGCUUUCGGGUCGUAAAGCUCUGUCAAGGGGAAAGAAGUGUAUUGUGGUUAAUACCCAUGAUGCUUGACGGUACCCCUAAAGGAAGCACCGGCUAACUCCGUGCCAGCAGCCGCGGUAAUACGGGGGGUGCAAGCGUUGUUCGGCAUUAUUGGGCGUAAAGCGCGUGUAGGCGGGUUGUUAAGUCUGAUGUGAAAGCCCGGGGCUCAACCUGGGAAUUGCAUUGGAAACUGGCAGACUUGAAUACGGGAGAGGGUAGUGGAAUUCCUGGUGUAGGAGUGAAAUCCGUAGAUAUCAGGAGGAACACCGGUGGCGAAGGCGUCUGCCUGGACCGAUAUUGACGCUGAGACGCGAAAGCGUGGGUAGCAAACA
rnacentral:rRNA from 1 species